GCCUGGGUGGCUCAGUGGGAUAAGUGUCCGACUUCGGCUCAGGUCAUGAACUCAUAGUACGUGGGUUCGAGCCCCACAUCAGGCU
rnacentral:tRNA from 1 species